rnacentral:rRNA from 1 species
AAACCAACAGGGAUUGCCUUAGUAGCGGCGAGUGAAGCGGCAAAAGCUCAAAUUUGAAAUCUGGCGUCUUCGGCGUCCGAGUUGUAAUUUGAAGAAGGUAUCUUUGGGGCCGGCGUUUGUCUAUGUUCCUUGGAACAGGACGUCACAGAGGGUGAGAAUCCCGUGCGACGAGCAGCCCGGUUCUAUGUAAAGUUCCUUCGAAGAGUCGAGUUGUUUGGGAAUGCAGCUCUAAGUGGGUGGUAAAUUCCAUCUAAAGCUAAAUAUUGGCGAGAGACCGAUAGCGAACAAGUACAGUGAUGGAAAGAUGAAAAGAACUUUGAAAAGAGAGUGAAAAAGUACGUGAAAUUGUUGAAAGGGAAGGGCUUGAGAUCAGACUUGGUAUUUUGGAUGCUUUUGCCUUUGGGCGGAAGCCACUGCAGCUUACCGGGCCAGCAUCGGUUUGGGUGGAAGGAUAAUUGCGUAGGAAAGUGGCACUUCGGUGUGUUAUAGCCUGCGUCGAUACUUCCUGCCUAGACCGAGGACUGCGUCUUUUGACUAGGAUGCUGGCAUAAUGAUCCUAAGCCGC